GACGAACGCUGGCGGCGUGCUUAACACAUGCAAGUCGAACGAAGAGCGAUGGAAGCUUGCUUCUAUCAAUCUUAGUGGCGAACGGGUGAGUAACGCGUAAUCAACCUGCCCUUCAGAGGGGGACAACAGUUGGAAACGACUGCUAAUACCGCAUACGAUCUAACCUCGGCAUCGAGGAAAGAUGAAAGGUGGCCUCUAUGUAUAAGCUAUCACUGAAGGAGGGGAUUGCGUCUGAUUAGCUAGUUGGAGGGGUAACGGCCCACCAAGGCGAUGAUCAGUAGCCGGUCUGAGAGGAUGAACGGCCACAUUGGGACUGAGACACGGCCCAGACUCCUACGGGAGGCAGCAGUGGGGAAUCUUCCGCAAUGGACGAAAGUCUGACGGAGCAACGCCGCGUGAGUGAUGACGGCCUUCGGGUUGUAAAGCUCUGUUAAUCGGGACGAAAGGCCUUCUUGCGAAUAGUUAGGAGGAUUGACGGUACCGGAAUAGAAAGCCACGGCUAACUACGUG
rnacentral:rRNA from 1 species